UGCGUAGACGGUUCCGCAUGUCGGAUGUGAAAUCUCACUGCUCAACGGUGGAAUGGCAUUCGAAACUGCGGGGCUGGAGUACAGGAGAGGAGAGCGGAAUUCCUGGUGUAGCGGUGAAAUGCGUAGAUAUCAGGAGGAACACCGGUGGCGAAGGCGGCUCUCUGGACUGAUACUGACGCUGAGGCACGAAAGCUGGGGGAGCAAACA
rnacentral:rRNA from 1 species